UACAGAGACUGCGAGCGUUAUUCGGAUUCACUGGGCGUAAAGGGUGCGCAGGCGGCCGUGUGUGUUGGGCGUGAAAGCCCGGGGCUUAACCCCGGAAUUGCACCCAAAACUACAUGGCUAGAGCAUUGGAGAGGGUAGCAGAAUUCAUGGUGUAGCAGUGAAAUGCGUAGAUAUCAUGAGGAACACCCAUGGCGAAGGCAGCUCUCUGGCUUCACCCUGACGCUGAGGCGCGAAAGCGUGGGGAGCGAACGGG
rnacentral:rRNA from 1 species